GAUGAACGCUGGCGGCGUGCCUAAUACAUGCGAGUCGAGCGAACAGACGAGGAGCUUGCUCCUCUGACGUUAGCGGCGGACGGGUGAGUAACACGUGGAUAACCUACCUAUAAGACUGGGAUAACUUCGGGAAACCGGAGCUAAUACCGGAUAAUAUAUUGAACCGCAUGGUUCAAUAGUGAAAGACGGUUUUGCUGUCACUUAUAGAUGGAUCCGCGCCGCAUUAGCUAGUUGGUAAGGUAACGGCUUACCAAGGCAACGAUGCGUAGCCGACCUGAGAGGGUGAUCGGCCACACUGGAACUUAGACACGGUCCAGACUCCUACGGGAGGCAGCAGUAGGGAAUCUUCCGCAAUGGGCGAAAGCUUGACGGAGCAACGCCGCGUGAGUGAUGAAGGUCUUCGGAUCGUAAAACUCUGUUAUUAGGGAAGAACAAAUGUGUAAGUAACUAUGCACGUCUUGACGGUACCUAAUCAGAAAGCCACGGCUAACUACGUG
rnacentral:rRNA from 1 species